rnacentral:rRNA from 1 species
UACGUAGGGUGCAAGCGUUGUCCGGAAUUAUUGGGCGUAAAGAGCUCGUAGGCGGUUUGUUGCGUCGGCUGUGAAAUCCCGAGGCUCAACCUCGGGUCUGCAGUCGAUACGAGCAAACUAGAGUGUUGCAGGGGAGACUGGGAAUUCCUGGUGUAGCGGUGAAAUGACGCAGAUAUCAGGAGGAACACCCGGGUGGCGAAGGCGGGGUCUCUGGGCCGAUACUGACGCUGGAGGCGCGAAAGCGUGGGGAGCAAACAGG